GCAAGAUCCUGGGGUAUCUUCACCAUGGCCUGGAACCCUCUCCUGUUCAUCCUCCUCACCUUCUGCACAGGGCAUGUGGCCUCCUCUAGUCUGACUCAACCAUCCUCCAUGUCUGUGGCCUGGGGACAGACAGCCAAGAUUACCUGCCAGGGAGUGAACUUUUAUGCUCACUGGUACCAGCAGAAGCCAGGCCAGGCCCCUGUGAAUGUCAUCUAUACUAAUAGCAACCGACCUUCAGGUAUCCCUAACCGGUUCUCAGGCUCCAAAUCAGGAGUCACAGCCACCCUGACCAUCAGUGGGGUUCAGACUGAAGAUGAGGCCGACUAUUACUGUCACAAUGCUGGUGCUCACAAUGACGCAAGCAGAUGGAGAAGUGAGACACAAACCCCUUCCCUCUCUGGUUCUUACUUUCCUGCAGGCCCAAGAAGACUGUGGCCACAGCAAUGUGUCCGAGUUAAUCUGGAACUGGGUCAUGGGGGUGGGGGGGUAGGAGGAAAUUAACGAGGGGCACAGAAG